UUGCGGGUCCCGCGCAAUGGAAAACUGUGAACCUCGUCAGGUCCGGAAGGAAGCAGCGAUAAGCAGACCUUUCUAUGUGCCGCGGUCAAGCCUGUGAGGC
rnacentral:SRP_RNA from 1 species